rnacentral:rRNA from 1 species
GACGAACGCUGGCGGCGUGCUUAACACAUGCAAGUCGAACGGAAAGGCCCUGCUUUUGUGGGGUGCUCGAGUGGCGAACGGGUGAGUAACACGUGAGUAACCUGCCCUUGACUUUGGGAUAACUUCAGGAAACUGGGGCUAAUACCGGAUAGGAGCUCCUGCUGCAUGGUGGGGGUUGGAAAGUUUCGGCGGUUGGGGAUGGACUCGCGGCUUAUCAGCUUGUUGGUGGGGUAGUGGCUUACCAAGGCUUUGACGGGUAGCCGGCCUGAGAGGGUGACCGGCCACAUUGGGACUGAGAUACGGCCCAGACUCCUACGGGAGGCAGCAGUGGGGAAUAUUGCAGAAUGGGCGGAAGCCUGAUGCAGCAACGCCGCGUGCGGGAUAACGGCCUUCGGGUUGUAAACCGCUUUCGCCUGUGACGAAGCGUGAGUGAAGGUAAUGGGUAAAGAAGCACCGGCUAACUACGUG